rnacentral:tRNA from 12 species
GCGGACGUGGUGGAAUGGUAGACACCGGAGACUUAAAAUCUCCUGGCCUUAUGGCCGUGCGGGUUCGAGUCCCGCCGUCCGCACCA